UCUGUAUUAACCUGAAGGCAGUUAACAGGCAAAACCCAGGCCCAGGAGAAAAACCUUGAUGACAUCUUAGAAGUCAGAGCUCAGAGGAAUGCGCUCUGGAGACUUUUCCAGGACUCCCUCAACAUAAGGAGGGAAACAUAAAUUUUCCUUAUACCCUUACCCCUAUAAUAUGAGUAAGCUUAGAAAUUUAUAUGUCUCUCUCCUGUAUAACUUCAUGUAGUCUGUUUUGUAUCUAAACAACAUGUUGAAGGCUAAGAGAAAUGCCUAAGCAGGCCAGAACUGCCAACACCAAGGGCCCAGGACAAAGGCUAAAAGAUAAACUCACCUGAGAUUCUGUCCUAAUCAGCCCAAGUCCAAGAUGAGCAUCAGGCCCGCAUACCAAGAGUCAUAAGUAAGCCGGUCACAGUUUUGAUUAACUGCUUGUGUUCUUGCUUCAGUAAAACCUGCUUCCUGCUUCAUGAUUUCACGCCUCUGGAUGCAUAAAAGACACUUGCUCUCUUUGUCCAUUGCUCAGACAUUCUGGAUGUGAAUCCACUGAGCAGGUGUACACCUUAAAUAAAUCUUCCUGUAACCUCAUCAUUCUCUCUGGUUCCCUGAUUUCCCACAACAGUCCCAGCCAAGAUGGGAAUAAGGAGACUUGAGAAGCAAAGGUCAUGUCGUAUCCUAGAUAAUAGGCAAACAUUGGAAGAAUUUUCUGGGCUCAGGAGAAGCCAAAAAAAAAAAAAGAGGGAAAGUUUGGAACCUCUUAGAGUCUGGUUAAUUGGUCAUAAUAAAAAUUCUGAUAGAAAUAUGGAUAGUAAAGUCCUUCUGAUGAGGUCUGAGAGAGAAAUGAGGAAUUUAUUUGGAACUGGAGGUUGCCCUUGUUACACUGUAGUAAAUAACUUGGCUGUAUUUGAUCUCCGCCCUAGUGCUUUGUGGAAUGCUGAAUUUUACCAAUUUUUGAGGCAGCCCCUCUAAUCACAGACCCAAAAGCCAAGGACAGAGUGGUUAUGAAUGAACAAUCAGAGGCACCACUUCCCUAAGCUGCCUCAUAAUGCUGUUCCCUGCAUCCUGGCCCCAGGUGUUGCUCAGAUCGCAACUCCAGAGAGCACAAGUCAUAAGACUUGGUGGCUUCCAUGAGGUGUUAAAUUUGCAGGUAUACAGAACGCAAGAGUUGUAGAGAUUCGGCAGCUUUCACCUAGAUCUCAGAGAAUGUAUCAGAAAGCUUGCGUGCCCAGCUAAAGGCCUGUCUGCCGCAGGUGUGGAGCCCCCUCAGAGAGGCUCUACUAAGGCAAUGACUCGCAGAAAUGUGGGGUUGGGGCCUCAGCAAAGAGACCCCACUGGAGUACUGCCUGGUGGACCUGUGGAAAUGAGGCUGGUGCCCUCCAGACACCAGAACUGUAGAGCAAAGAGCAGCAUGCAAUUGGAAAAGCUAUAGGCAUUCAACUCUAACCCAUGGAAGUAGCCAUGUGGGCUACACCUAGCAAAGCCAUGGGACAGGGCUGCCCAAGGUUUUGGAGGCCCAUUCUUUGUACUGAUAUGGGAUACAGAGUCAAAAGCAAUUAUUUUAUAGCUCACGGAUUUAAUGUCUGCUCCACUGGGUUUUAGACAUGUAUGAGCCUGUUACCCCUUUCUUUUGUUCUAUGUUUCUAAUUUGGAUUGGGAAUGUUUACCCAAUAUCUCUUCCAUCAUUGUCUCUUUCAAGUUAAUAACUUGUUUUUCAGUUUACAGGCUUAUAGCCAGAAAAAAUUUGCCUUGGGUUUCAGAUGGGACUUUGGACUUCGGACUUUGGGGUUGGUACAGGAACAAGUUCAGACUUUUGGGGCACUGUUGGGAUGAGAUUGUUUUAUUUUGCAGUGUGACAAAGACAUGAGGUUUAUGGUCCAACGAUAGGAUGUUAUAGUUUGGAUACUUAGCCCUCCAUACCUCCCUAAUGCUGAAGGUGUGGCUGAGAGGAAGAUGUUUGGAUCAUGGAGAUGGAUCACUUGUAAAUGCCUCGGUGCCAUUCUUGUAGUAGCAAUUGAGUUCUCAGUCUGUUACCUCCAAGGUAUGUUACUUCCACUGAGAGUUCCCUGAGAGCUGGCUGUUAAACAGAGCCUGGCAUCGGCCCCCAAUUUUGUGCUUCUUCUCUCACCAUGUCAUCACAUGCCCGAUUCCCUUUGCCUUCCACCAUGAGUGGAAGCCACCUAAGACGCCCUAACCAGAAGCAGAUGCUGGUGUCAUACUUCUUGUACAGGUGAAUAACUGUGAGCUAAACAAACUUAUUUCCUUUAUAAAUGACCCAACCUCAGGUAAUCUUUUACAGCAACACAAAAUGGACUAAAACAAUGUUGCUCCACCGUCUUCUCACCUGCAUGGUUCUUGCUGAUAAGUCUGUUCUCAUCAUUAUCUCUGCUCCUCUGUCUUUUGUUCUCUGGCUUGUUAUUUUAAGAUAUUCACUUUGUCACUGGUUAUAAGCAAUCUGAUUAUGAUGAGUUUAUGGUACUUUUAAUCAUGUUUUCAGUGUUCGUGUUGAUUUUCUUGAAUUCGUUGGUUAGAGUUUUCAUUAAAAUUAAACAUUUUGGAC
ensembl:lncRNA